rnacentral:lncRNA from 7 species
CAUCUGUGGCUGGCACAUGGGUUGUCGGGUUUGCGCCAUGGGCGAUGGGUCUGCUCACCGGUAGAAGGUAUGAGAGUGAGGGCGCCGACGACGGACGACGAUAAUGCGAGCGUUGCCCACGUGGGUGGAUGGGUCGCAGGCGCGUCGUAUUCGUGCGAACAAGGCGCAUGCACGGUCCAUGGAGGGAGUGGGCGACAUCUCGUCGGCCGUCGGCGUUGAGGAAGAAGACGAGGCCCGCCGGUAAGGCGUAACUACUUCUAUUUUAAAGACCAUGAAAUGUAUUAAAUUCUCUCUAUCAACAUUAGUACUACUGUAUUGGUGUACAUAUGUCUAUAGAGGGCACGCCUUAGAGCAAGGAUAAUAAUAUAGCCGGUUGCUGGCAGAAAAAAUUGUUGCAACCAACCUCAUAGCCCACUUGUAUAAUAGUUAGCUCUUCAUUCUUAAUGUUUGGCUCACUUGUCUCCUUAUAAGUUUUUUCGGUUCUCGUGUAUUAGCCGUUUGUAAGUUUACAACCCGCUUUUCCUCUCUCUCCUCUUCUCUCUCCUCCAACUCUAUAUUUA